GAGCAGCAUUAUUGGGGUUUCUAAAAGGGGUUUUUCAAAAAAACAAUGGGUGGGCCCCACUAAACCACAAAAACUAGUCCCUAAAGUCAUGAAAUAAAGACUGAUUGUGGUGGCUUUUUUGCACUGUCCGCAGACUCCAUCGACACUGGCAGCCCGCGAUAGAUGCACUUUUUCAUUUUUUUUUAAUCAGACAAAAAAUAAAUAAUUUUUUUUAAAGAAACCUUUAAGUGGAUUUCAGAGAUAAUGCUGCUAUUAUUUACCUUCCGAAUAUGGUCUAGUUCCUUCUCCCUCUUUUCGAUUUUGGUCUUGAGGUAUGACACUAGAUCCUCAAGUUUUUUUUCCAUGGCCGUCGCUUUUAGUUCUUUCUUUUAUUUGUGAUGUUGAAAUAUAGACAUGCAAUUGUAAUCUUAUAUAGGAUGGGAUAAGGACACAAACUGAAGUUUCUGAGUUCUAGUGUUUGAACUACUGUCAAGUGUUUGUUAACUACUAGCAUAUGUACCUACCUUCAAAGUCCAAAUCACCGAGAAUGACGGUUGCUAACAAAGAUUGGCCAACCAACAAUUAAAGCUCACUUACCACACUUAAUUUGGUUAAAUCCUUUGCAGAUUAAAAUCUCGAAUGUUACGUGCGUGUUUACGACCUUGUGGUUAAAUCCUUAACGGCUUUACAUGAAAACAUUUUGGUUGGCAAUUGGGAUUUUAGGGGCCGGUUAUAAGACCUCGAGAGGAAAAGUUGGGGUUUGUUUAUAGAUAUAGGGUUAAUUUGGAGGAUUACUUAAAUAAAAUAAAUUUUACUUUUAGGGAUUAUAUUUAUAUCGCAAAGCCUUUGUUUAUUUUGCAUAGUAGUUUGUCGUCUAACAUGGAGACGGAAGGAUCUGAGUUGAUAGGAUGGGAUAACCACAAGGGAACAUGGUGAAGAAAGCUGAAGUUGCUGAGUUUUAGUGGUUGAACUACUACUGUUAAGAACUCGUUUCUUAACUUUUAACUAAAAAAAAGCUAAGAACCGGUUCUUAAAUAAGAUAUAUUUAAAAGUCUAUUCUUAACUUUUUUUAAUUAAAAGUUAAGAGACGGUUCUUAUAUUCUGCUAAUAACUUCACUUUAAGAAUCCCCGUUGAACAUGCUCUAAGUGUUUUGUUAACUACUAGCAAAUGUAUGAUAUAGGAAUAUGGUGAAGAAAAUACAAAGCCACGUGUAAGGAUGUGAGUGGAGGAAGUUGGUAUUAUGGUGCACAAGCAAACAGAGGAGCACAUGUUAUAUAGAAAGAAGAACGGCCACGAUUAGAAAUUAAUCAGAAAAAUUGUCAGUUUGUUUCUUCUUCAUCUCUUUUUCUCUGUGCGUUUUCGGGAAAGUUCCCAUGGCUCCUCAUCACUGUUCUUGAGUUGUUUCUACUGCUAAACUCAUGGCAUAUGAGAGUUGAAUUGUUGUUUCAUGAACAUCAAUUCAAAGUACGAUUCAUUUCAAUUUCAUCAAUUAGGGUUUCCUCUAUCAAGCUGAAGACAGUGAAGCAGGAAACAAGAAGCCUACGUUUCAAGAAGAACCAACAUUACUCAUCUUUCUCAAGGUACGUAGGAUAUCAUAACAAUUCAGACAAAAUAAAUAAAUAAAUAAAAGAUAAUCAUAUCUAUUUGCACAUGCACCGAAAGGAGAUCAAAAGAAUAUCACACAUUUGUCUAUCUAUCUCUGUUUAUCUAGUUUUUCCACCAGGUUAAAUUUAUGUACAAGACUCAGUUAAGAUAGUCUAAGUCCUGUAAGAACAAACACAUACAUAUCGGUUUUGUACUCAAGACGAUGUUUUCUUUCCUCAUCUUACCGUGAAAGAAACACUAAGCUACACUGCUCGUUUGCGUGUACCUAAGACUCUUACAAGGGCGCAGAAGGAGCAACGAGCUAUUGAAGUUAUCCAAGGGUUGCGUUUGGAGAGGUGCCAAGACACUAUGAUUGGACAUAUACAUAAAAACAUGAUAUGCAUCCGCUUCCGGGUUCUUAUAUCUAACAUCUAAGUAAUCGGGAUACAAAUACCUUCAAGAACACAUAGUGUCUCACUUUUAAAAUCUCUCAGGUAAGUAGUUGCAGUAUCCUUCUUAAACUAGUUUAGGAGCACUUCUCAAGCACUUCACAAGCUUCAAAUGUUAAUCAAGAUUCUUUAAUCAACCUAAUACCAAAGCCUCCUAUCUAAACACUGCACUUGAAAGUUUUGUACUUUGAAGGAGAAAUCAAAGAAGAGUGGUCCUUAUAGAGGUACUACAUCAAGUAUGUAUAGCUAAGAAUGCUAUUGGAAUCUUGGGGGUGUAAUUCUACUCUCUCUAUCUCUCUCCUCUUUGGUUUCUUUUAUCAUGACACUGAAAGCUUUGGAGUAAUGGGUGGAGUCAAUAACAUGGACAUUUAUGUGAAGACCAGAGUCUGCAAAAAUAGGACACACGCAACAAAAAAAAAACUCUUGAAAUUGUAGUUACUGAGUAAUUUGUGCCCAGAACUAAAUACUAACUUUUAGUAUUUUUCAAAUAACAAAUAUCAUUCCAAUAAGAAAAAUUUUCAAGUCAAUUGCAACUCAGUGAAGUUUAGAAUUUUACAAAACCUGAGGAAUUAUAAAGCUUAGAUGGAUAUCAGUUGACUACACCAUUCUAAUGGCGUCGGUAGCUCAUCCUAGAACUCAAAUGUGUUGGUUAUAAAAAUAUAUAGAAUGUAAAUUACUAUAUCAACUUCGUCACAUCUUUUUGACUUUUGAUUAUUUAAGAGUUUUGGUGAUUUACACCACAUGAAAUGGAUCCGUUGUUAUCGUUUAUAUCUUUAUGAUCCUCGCUGACCCAUUAUCCACGCAUCGUUAUUUAUGUACUUCCAUAUGCAUGAAUUGUCAAGAUAUGGUGUUCAAUCCUCAUUAUAUAUUUAUUAACAUCUCACGUCUUUUUGAAUAUUGAAAAUAUCUUUGCUUUUUGGUAUAUAGAGGCCAUAUGUAUUAACAUAAACUCCAAAAUUCUUUUCUAGAAACAUAUGCUAUGCAAAUGAACAAAAUUCACUGGGGCACUCUUAAGUUUGGUCAUGGAUUCAUUGUUCUAUACAAAAUGACUUCAUACUUAAAAUUGUUUUGGUGAGAUCACGUUGGCUUUUUUUACUUAUUGUGUGACGCUAGGAAUAACUAACUAAAUAAUAUAACCAAAAAGUAACAACCAUAUAACUAAACUCUAAAGUCAGCCUAAGUGUUUGUAAAUGCGCCCACGUCCUUGACACUUAACAUGAAUGCUAUUAAUUUCUACAAGUCAACUAAACAAUUUUUAUAUAUCCAGCUCCUAAUGAACGAGAUCUCAUUAUGUGAAUAGAUGGGAGAUGAGAAAAUCUGUUUGUAAGAAAACAAAAUAACCGACUUUGAAUUAUAAAGUGUUUGGCUAUAAGGUUAGUGUGAUCAUGUUCAAUUACUCAGCGGUGUGAUAUAUGUGUAGAAACCAGUUUGUUAGGAAGUUUAUUUUGUUUGGUUAUUGUGUUGAAAGAUACGAUCUUCAUAUAAUGGUAUGAUCGUUGAUACAUGUGGUUUCAAGUUGCACAUUGAUUGGUGCAAUUAAGGGUACCCAAUUUAUUGAGAGGAGACGAAUUGUUAAUGCUCGCUUUGCUAUAUUUUGCAAGCUCGCUUCAAUUAAACCAAAAACAACAACAAAAUCUGACUAAGACUAGACAUAGUUAGUGGUUUGAAUUACUAUCGGAGCCAUGUAUGUAUGUGUGAGUUGUAAUAACACGAAAAAUAUGAAAAUCUGAAAAUAAAAAGCUGAGUAAGAAAAAGAAGUCCUUAACAUUCACUUCACAGUCCUACAUAUCCAAAGAUUAUAUAUGUAUCAUGUUAUAUAGAUUAAGACUGUUGCCUUAUAUAUACUAGAAUGUGCUACUUUUCAGAUGUGUUAUUAACUUAUUAUUAUUAGAAUUGUACAAGGAAGAAACGUAUUUGAAGCUUUUUAUUUAGUCAGAUUAUUUUCUGGUCAAAACAGAAUGAUAAAGAAAAUGGGACCAAAGAAAGAAAAGAGAUUUACGAGGAAGAAGGUAAAGCUAAUAGUAAUACUAAGAAAAUGGAUUGGUCCCACCCAAAUCCUCAACGCAGAUUCAUUUCUCUGCUUAUCUCACACGCUCUAAGUUCUUAUAACGCAUUUUUCUUUUAGUGGAUCCAAAACUAUGUUAAUUAACUUCAUUACUACAGUUUUAAUGGUUUCUUAACUUUACUUCCCUUGUAAUGCAUGUCAUUAAUAAACAGCCCAGGACUGUCACGGCAUAUCAUCUAAAGACUGAAGACUAGCACAACACCCUUUACAAUCCACACACAUAACAUAUAUUCAUAAACAACUACGAAACUUGAGUACCAAACAUUGGACCCACUUGAAAUGCUUCAUGGAGUUUAUAGUUUACUCAUCUCUCACACAUCCUCAAAUGAUCCUUGUCCCCAAGAUUUAAACAAGCGAAUUAUAUAGUUCUUUUGUUGAUAUUUUUGAAAAUAGUAAUGGGUAGUUUUGGAAUUGGGAAAAAUAUUAUUUUGUCUCCCUCUCAUAAAACGUUUAAUAAAACUAAAUGCCAGUAGGGUGGUUCAAUUUAUAUAUUUGCCUGUAUUUGGGUUCUCUGUACCAAUUCUGGUGUGUUGCCAUUUAAUUUUGUUUGCGUUUCUUUAAUUUCAAUUUAAUUCCUUUGACUGUACAUUUUUUACUUCAGAAGUUAUGAUUUUUUUUCUCAAUUUUUAUUAUAGACAUCUAAUUCAAGUUGGUUGCCAUUUAAUUUCUUGGUUCCUUAUAUUAACUCCUAUGAAGAAAAUAAAAUAAAUAAUGAUGGCCUGUUGAGUAUUUAAUUUGAUUUCUGUGUAUUAGCCAUUAAACGCCUCUCUUGUUCUUUUCCUCCUCUAUUUAAUAAGCAAUGAAUUGGGUUCCUGCAAAUAUCUACUUAUUUUCUUGUGUAUUUAUUAAUUACAUAUUUAAAAUAAAAAUUACUGGUUUAAAGUUGGAAAGUAACUUAAAUUCGAUACUCUUGAGGCAAAAUUAAAGCAAUUAACCGUCUGAUAUCAUCUACUCGUAUACUCCAAUUCACUCUUUAUGAUUCUCUCUCACUCACAAUUAAAUUAAGCCUUAAUGAAAAAUCUAUCUAUCUCUCCCUCUUUAAAUCUUCUCUGUGUUCUUUCUUGUAUAUAAAGACCUAAGCUGAACCAACCCAACCACCAGUUAGAAGAGAGACUCUUUGUGAUCGUAAGUACGAAAAGUCUUUGAGAUCACAGGAAACUCUCCUUCUCAAUCCGCAGGUUUCAAGAAGAUGAGUCGUAGAAGUCCAAAGGUUGACCUUAAGCUGAACCUCUCGCCUCCUACGUCAAGCCGGAGGAGGAUGGUUCGAUCUCCAAGCCGCUCCGCCACGACUUCACCGACCUCACCCCCAAGCUCAUGUGUCUCUUCGGAGAUGAACCAGGACGAGUCGUCAGUGAGAUACUCAUCAAGUCCAGAGACAACCUCGAUGGUUCUUGUCGGGUGUCCUCGCUGUCUCAUGUACGUUAUGCUCUCAGAAGACGAUCCUAAAUGCCCUAAAUGUCAAAGCACCGUUCUUCUUGAUUUCAACCAUGAAAACGCCUCAAACGCCAACGCACGCACUCCAGGCGCUGGUUCCUCUGGUCGCAAGACUCGAAGGAACUGAAAAGACCAGUAAAGCCCUCUAAAAAUCCUUGUUAUUUUUAUUUAUUUUUAUUUUCUUGCGAAUGUAGCUUUGUUUAUGAGAGUAGUGCUAAUCACGCUCCACCUUUGAAACCCUUAGAAGAAGGUAGGGAGAUGAAACUAGGAUUUCCCUACUCACAAAACUUUCAUAUCAAAAGGGUGGAGCGCGAAUAGCACUAACUUUUCUUUUCUUCCUUAAACAUUUUUCUACCAUUUGAGUUCUCUAAUGGAAGAAGAAUUUCUAUGUAUGUGAAACAUGUGUCAUUGUCUCCCUAUCUCUUCUCCUGAGUUCUUAUAAAUCAUCUUCUUAUA